AGUCACUGACAUUAGAUACCCCGGUAGUCCAGGGUGUAAACGCUGCGGGCUUGGUGUUGGGGGUCCUUUGAGGGCGCCAGUGCCGGAGAGAAGUUGUUAAGCCUGCUGCUUGGGGAGUACGUCCGCAAGGAUGAAACUUAAAGGAAUUGGCGGGGGAGCACCGCAACGGGAGGAGCGUGCGGUUCAAUUGGAUUCAACGCCGGACAACUCACCAGGAGCGACGGUUACAUGAAGGCCAGGCUGAUGACCUUGCCUGAUUUUCCG
rnacentral:rRNA from 1 species